UACGUAGGGGGCAAGCGUUGUCCGGAUUUACUGGGCGUAGAGAGCGUGUAGGCGGCCAAGCAGGUCCGUUGUGAAAACUGGAGGCUUAACCUCCAGACGUCGACGGAAACCGCGUGGCUAGAGUCCGGAAGAGGAGAGUGGAAUUCCUGGUGUAGCGGUGAAAUGCGCAGAUAUCAGGAAGAACACCAAUGGCGAAGGCAGCUC
rnacentral:rRNA from 1 species